rnacentral:rRNA from 1 species
GYCACCUAAGUUKCUUGGYUACYUCWUGGKCAUGMKGCMGGAKYGCUUCYAUACGCUAGUGRAUUCRCGGCCRCGUGCCUGGCUCCCRUAUGGCARAKGUCCCAMGGCGGUGGAUGCCUAGCUUGASUUGUCUCUAUCGCCGGGAUAAUAGUUGGRMRCAACUGUGGUCAUCGGAUGCCGUCACACCGCUUCAUGGCGGAGUGCCGAAAGAUUUAUCGGAUUGGGAGGGUCUCGCGGCCUAUCAGCUAGUUGGARAGGUAACGGCUCACCAAGGCAUCGACGGGUAGCUGGUCUGAGAGGAUGAUCAGCCACACUGGGACUGAGACACGGCCCAGACUCCUACGGGAGGCAGCAGUGGGGAAUCUUGCACAAUGGGCGAAAGCCUGAUGCAGCAACGCCGCGUGCGGGAUGAAGGCCCUAGGGUUGUAAACCGCUUUCAGUAGGGAAGAAAAUGACGGUACCUACAGAAGAAGGUGCGGCCAACUACGUGCCAGCAGCCGCGGUGACACGUAGGCACCAAGCGUUAUCCGGAUUUAUUGGGCGUAAAGAGCUCGUAGGCGGUUCGGUAAGUCGGGUGUAAAAACUCUGGGCUCAACCCAGAGAGGCCAUCCGAUACUGCUGUGACUAGAGUGCGGUAGGGGAGCGGGGAAUUCAUGGUGUAGCGGUGAAAUGCGCAGAUAUCAUGAGGAACACCAGCGGCGAAGGCGCCGCUCUGGGCCGUAACUGACGCUGAGGAGCGAAAGCAUGGGUAGCAAACAGGAUUAGAUACCCUGGUAGUCCAUGCCGUAAACGUUGGGCACUAGGUGUGGGUCUCAACCAACGAGAUCCGCGCCGUCGCUAACGCAUUAAGUGCCCCGCCUGGGGAGUACGGUCGCAAGACUAAAACUCAAGGAAUUGACGGGGCYCGCACAGCAGCGGAGCGUGUUGCUUAAUUCGAUGCAACGCGAARACCUUACCUGGGUUUGACAUGUACCGAAAGCUCUARARAWAGGUGUCUUCGGGCGUACMCGGGUGGUGCAUGCUGUCGUCAGCUCGKUCUGAAAUGUGGGUAGUUCGSCACGAGSCAUCCUAUCUAUGUUGCAGCCGUAUGGGGGGACUCGUAGAAACUGCGGGUCACCUCGGAGAAAGGGUGGAUUACCUYAGUCMUCACMUG